rnacentral:rRNA from 1 species
CCUUAGUAGCGGCGAGUGAGCGGCAAAAGCUCAAAUUUGAAAUCUGGCACUUUCAGUGUCCGAGUUGUAAUUUGAAGAAGGUAUCUUUGGGUCUGGCUCUUGUCUAUGUUUCUUGGAACAGAACGUCACAGAGGGUGAGAAUCCCGUGCGAUGAGAUGUCCCAGACCUAUGUAAAGUUCCUUCGAAGAGUCGAGUUGUUUGGGAAUGCAGCUCUAAGUGGGUGGUAAAUUCCAUCUAAAGCUAAAUAUUGGCGAGAGACCGAUAGCGAACAAGUACAGUGAUGGAAAGAUGAAAAGAACUUUGAAAAGAGAGUGAAAAAGUACGUGAAAUUGUUGAAAGGGAAGGGCUUGAGAUCAGACUUGGUAUUUUGUAUGUUACUCUCUCGGGGGUGGCCUCUACAGUUUACCGGGCCAGCAUCAGUUUGAGCGGUAGGAUAAGUGCAAAGAAAUGUGGCACUGCUUCGGUAGUGUGUUAUAGUCUUUGUCGAUACUGCCAGCUUAGACUGAGGACUGCGGCUUCGGCCUAGGAUGUUGGCAUAAUGAUCUUAAGUC